rnacentral:rRNA from 1 species
AUUGAACGCUGGCGGCAUGCUUUACACAUGCAAGUCGAACGGUAACAGGUUAAGCUGACGAGUGGCGAACGGGUGAGUAAUGCAUCGGAACGUGCCCGGUCGUGGGGGAUAACGCAGCGAAAGCUGCGCUAAUACCGCAUACGAUCUGAGGAUGAAAGCGGGGGACCGUAAGGCCUCGCGCGAUCGGAGCGGCCGAUGUCAGAUUAGGUAGUUGGUGGGGUAAAGGCUCACCAAGCCGACGAUCUGUAGCUGGUCUGAGAGGACGACCAGCCAAACUGGGACUGAGAAACGGCCCAGACUCCUACGGGAGGCAGCAGUGGGGAAUUUUGGACAAUGGGCGCAAGCCUGAUCCAGCAAUGCCGCGUGCAGGAAGAAGGCCUUCGGGUUGUAAACUGCUUUUGUACGGAGCGAAAAGGCUCUCUCUAAUACAGGGGGCUCAUGACGGUACCGUAAGAAUAAGCACCGGCUAACUACGUGCCAGCAGCCGCCGUAA